rnacentral:rRNA from 1 species
UUUAAAGAGAGUUUGAUCCUGGCUCAGGACGAACGCUGGCGGCGUGCCUAAUACAUGCAAGUCGAACGAA